rnacentral:rRNA from 1 species
UACGGAGGAUCCAAGCGUUAUCCGGAAUCAUUGGGUUUAAAGGGUCCGUAGGCGGUUUAAUAAGUCAGUGGUGAAAUCCCAUCGCUCAACGGUGGAACGGCCAUUGAUACUGUUAGACUUGAAUUAUUAGGAAGUAACUAGAAUAUGUAGUGUAGCGGUGAAAUGCUUAGAUAUUACAUGGAAUACCAAUUGCGAAGGCAGGUUACUACUAAUGGAUUGACGCUGAUGGACGAAAGCGUGGGUAGCGAAACAGG